rnacentral:rRNA from 1 species
UCAGUAACACGUAGUCAACCUGCCCUGGAGACAUGGAAAACCCCGGGAAACUGGGAUUAAUCCGUGAUAGGUCAUCUCAUCUGGAAAGAGAGAUGGCUUAAAGGGGUGCGAGAGCUUCUUUUUCGUAUCCGCUCCAGGAUGGACUGCGACCGAUCAGGCUCUUGGCGGGGUAAUGGCCCACCAAACCUGUAACCGGUACGGGCCUUGAGAGAGGGGGCCCGGAGAUGGACACUGAGAGAAGGGUCCAGGUCCUACGGGGCGCAGCAGGCGCGAAACCUUCGCAAUGCGCGAAAGCGUGACGAGGUUAAUCCGAGUGGCUCCCCGCUGAGGGGAUCUUUUGCCGGCUGUAAAAAGGCCGGUGAAUAAGGGGAGGGCAAGUCUGGUGCCA